GGUUCAGAAGUAGAAAAGAGUUGUGCCCUGAUAGACCAUUGCAUAGUAGAGUGCCUUUGGAGCAUUUUCAAAGCAGGUGACCUAUUCCAAAUUUCUCAAUCUCUCUAAAAUGUAGAGCUUAUUACAUGUGGUAACCAAACCAGUGAUAUUAUUUCUUCUUGGGUGUAUAUGUUCAACAUUAGAUGCACUAUUUCUUACCAAAUUCAUUGUACUUAUUUCAUUUGGUCUGUAUAUGCAUAGCUGUGUGUACAUUGCUAUGCAAGUGUUAAUGUAAUACCUAUGUAUGUAUGCUAUGUAAGUAUUAAUGAGAUACCUUCUCCUUCUCUCUCUUUGGGAAGUCAUAACUUCAGGUGAUCUGAUCUUAAGAUAUGGAGAUAUGAGUAAAAAAUAAGUAUAAAUAAAGAAUACAGGCAACUAAGGGACAGUCAGAAGCUUACUCUAAAUCAUAUUGGAGGAUCUUGAAAUCCAAACUGUGACAAAGUCUUUGUGAUUCAGGUAGAAUUGUUACUAGGUACAACUGGAGGUACUACUAAAGCACAGAUCUUUGUCAAUAUUGUGAAAUUACAAAGUUACAUCAUUAAACAAAAGAAGGUGUUGUCAUAAAAGGACGUGUAAAAAUUCUACAUAUAUUAUAGCUUCACUACGUUUUGUUUUUUUUUUCCAAUUCAAGUAGCCAGUGCUGGAUACUGUGAAAAUUAGGUUAUCUUUCCUAAAAUUCAGAUUACACUAAUAGUGCAGUGAUGAUGUUAUUUAUUUAGGUAUCUAACAGUACAUCUGAAUAAUUUAUAUUGUGUUUGUUUAUGAAUUUAGAUCACACCUUUGAAUUUUUAAGAUUUGGGUGGAGGGAAAAUUUUACUCUCUAAAUUCAAGCAAAACAAAUCUUUGGAUGAACAGAGGAAUUUUGUUUCAAGCUUUGAAUAACUUCUGUCUUAGCAUCAUUACUAUAUGCUGGGUGUUUGAAUAAAUACCCCCAAAAUCACACUUUUAUUCAGAAACAGCCAAUCUAAAUAGAAAAUCAUGUUGCCUCUGGGUUGAUUUUUGCCAGAAAUACAUUUAGUUUUUGUACAUAAAUGGCACUUUUCAUUUGCAGCUACAGUCUGUUUUUGUCUAUGCACUAAAAUUUAUGUUUUUAGAUGUGAAUUUAAACAAAAUUUAUGAAAGUAUAUAGUUUUAAAAGAGGAGAUUUAAUUGAAUGAUUUCUGAUUUGAAUGCUGAAGGAUUAGAAAAACCUUAUUUGCAACACAAUUGGAUUCUGAUUUUAUGUCUUCAUUUUGGCCCAAUAAAAACUAUUUUUUGAAUUUUAUGACAUUCGAUAAGUUGAUCUAUGCAUUUAAUAUUUGUUUUAAGAAAGAACCAGAAGAAGGUGAGUUUUAUUUUGUUAUUUCAAAAGGUAUUUCAAUUCUUUCCUCGGCUGUAAUAUUCAGUUGUAAUUUUCAUAACACAGUAGCCAGAAAUGAAAGUGGGCAGAAAUAGCAACUAAAUAAAAUAACUGUUGGGGACAUCUUUCAGUUUUGACACUGUAUUCAGGAGACAUUUAUAAAGAUCAUUGUAUAGCUGUAGCUAAAUUACACUAUCUUCAGCUAAUUUUUCUUGAUUAAAAAGCUAUUAAUGAUCUGUGAAAAGAGAGCAGGGGCAAACUUUGCCUCUUGAAUAAAAGCUCAUAAUGAUGAAAUGCUACAUGAUAGCCCUGAAUUCUGCAUGUGAUCCUUUUCCAAGGUCAAUGACCUAUUUAUCCUUCUUUUGGCUCAGAGAUGCCAAUAUGCAGCUUUAUUCCAAUUAGAAAUUAUGUAUUAAAAAGGGACAAGAAUAAGAUGUAUUCUGUAGCAGGAUUAUGCUUAUCUCCAAUAAGAUAUAAGGUGAUUCUUCUGCUGAUGAUUUUGAAAAACAAUGUGAAUCUUCAAAUCAAAUCUGAUAAUGAACUCACUCUAACUGGAUCUAGCAAUUGCCUAGAGCAAUAAUUACUAGAUAAAGAGGAAGGGCAUGAAAUGGUCAUUGAAAGCAAAAGGGAGAGCCAAAAUGAUUGAAGUACGUAGCUUUUAUUAAAUUAAAACAAAAUAGAUACUGUUGUAUCUUGCAUUUGAAUAUUAAAAUUUGGCAUCCGGAAUAUUUUAAUGUAACAUUAUCAAGUCAAGUCUAACAAUAAUUCCAAAACCUUCAACAAGGUAUGGUUAAGGACAGGCCAUAAAUGCCCACUAUAACAAAGGAAGCCCUUGCUCAAUGAUUAAACAAAACUCACUACUGAGUUUAUACUCAUCCUAAGUGUCUAUUGAAAUUGUACUCAUGAAACAACUGCAGUGAAGAACGUGAACUUUUAUAUCACUUUGAUGAACUAAGUUCAGAUUCUCAUUUCUUUUUCAUCACCUUGGCAUUACAGAUUCUUAGCAAUGUUUGCCAUAUUUUUUCUGCCUCCUCCUUGGUCAGCAUUUUUUGUGGUUAUCCAAUACUGGUAUAGGAACACUAUAUUGAAAUUUUAAAGUGGAAUCUUUUCCCAGUAUUUUGACUGUAUGAUCUGCUACUGAAUUUUCUUGAGACCUAAUUUUUUUUUCCUACCCUGUGUAAUAAUCUUUAUACAGGUUAAUGGCAGAUUUUUUCCACUCACAGUUUUGCAUUUCAUAAUCCCAUAUUGUUAACAAAACACAUAGGAAUUUCCUAUCUCAUAGUCUAAAUUUCAGUCAUAUAAAGACAACUGGGCUGGCCAAAUUAUUUUAUUAGGCAUCUCUUUCAUUACAGUACAAAGACCAUGUUGGAGAAUGCUAUCGCACAGACCUUAAAAUCUAUUUAAUAUGUAUGCUGAUCAUGCUACAAUUUUUCUUUGCCACUGAAGCAUUGAAAACAUCUGAUACAUAGAGAUGAGAUUUAUGGAAAGUUAUAUAUGCCUGGAAAGACUUGCAUUCUCCUAUUGUUUGUUGUCUCUAAGGGCAAAAUCUAUAUAAAAGUGUUAAAGCUAGGAUUCUAUGAAUCAUAAUAAAUAGAGAAAGCAGACUGUCUCUUUACAUUUUGUCUUCCUUUUUGAAGUUAGAAAUAUCCUUGUUUUCUUCAGUUCCCUUAGCUUUUUCACAGACCUCCAUAUAAAAAGAUAUAGAUAAGUUCUCUAAGAUUACAGCUUCUUGUUUUUAACAUUUCAGCAGCAACACUGUUGACACCUGGUGCUUGUUAUUCCUAAGGGUCCUGAUUGCCUCUUGAAUCUCUUUAAAAUUUGGCUCAGCUGCCUGGAAGGUGGCCAUUUGUUGUUGGCCUUCUAAUUUUCUUUACCGGACUUGUCUAAGCACCCCUACCAUAUUUCUCUAUUUCCAUUCCUUGUAAUAAGAUUGUUUUCAUUUUUAUAUUUUAUCAGACUUUCUUAUUAUUGAUAUUCUUUUCUUCAUGCAUUGAUACCCCUGUAAAAUUUUUGACAGUCUCAGGUUCCUUAAACUCAGUCAUAGGAAAAAAAAUUCUCUACAAACUAUAAUCUUCUGAAAAGGUCCACUCUUGCCUAAGGAACAAAUGUACAACUCGCCAAUACUCAUCAUCACACCAUAGUAUCCCCUCCAAAGAACCACUGAAAGCUCUAAAUUUGGUAUUUGAAUUUCCCAGAAUAUAAUGUAUUUUACCUAACACACCAAAGGCCCUUAGGAAAGCUGGGGAUAGGAACUGGUAUAAUUAAACAAAUUCACACUUGAAUGAACCCCUGCAGAAAAACAACAAUGGCUAUAAAAAUACAUUUUCCAGUGGAGGAAUGCUUUUCACAAAAUAUUCCUUCCCUCUCUGAACUUUCAGGACUAAUGCAGUAAAGGUAUGAAAUAGUUUUAAAAGAAAAGCUUGGAAAGCAAGAUUUCUUAUGCCACUUGAUACUAAAGGGCUAGGCCUUGUAGCUACAGACUUCAGGGAAUGGUAAUGGUCAGUCUUUUUACACCAACUUCCUUGUUUUUCCUAUAUGUUCUCAUGCCUCUGCUAAUAACCUCUGCCUCUCAACUUUUCACCUAAAGUCUUAUUAAAAUUCUCAUAUUUCUCACUAUCAAAUAACUCUUCUUUCUCAGAUUUUGGAACUGUUUUUUCAAUACAGAUAAUUGUUUUCAGUCUGUCUUUGAAUUUUGUUACUCAUUUUGAUCUGAGGGAGGGUUUACAUAAACUACAGUUUUGUAUUUUGUUUUUGCCUUCUAGAAGUCAUUUGCCUCAAUGUUUUCCUUGUAGCAGAGUUAGGUUUCAAGGCAAUUAGGCUGAUCAGGGCUGUGUUUAGUCAGUGUUAUAAAUAAAUGUGUUACAGUCUCUCAAGCAACUGUUACCAUGUUUGAUCACACUCAUGUUCUCACCAUAUUCAACAGAAUUUCUUUUUAUUUCUUGUUUUCGUACAAAAUUUCCUAGGAAAAUUUUCAAUUUGUCUCCAUCUUCUCUAUAGCUCCUUUAUAGUAGUUGAUAUCUGACAAUAAAGUCCUUCCUUACACUUUUCUCUAGAGUGAACCCAGUUUCUUUAGUCACAUGCAUCAUCAGGUCCUUAGACAUUUUCAUGGUGCUCCAGGGGAUUGACCCCAGCUGGAUUGCCCCCCUGUACCAAGGAUCCAUGAGUAGUGAACACAGUAGUCUGUGCAGUUAAAUAUGUCCUGAAGUCAUGGAGGAUACUCAUGUCUUUGUAAAAUUAUUCUGAUUUAUUCUUUCCUUGUAGUUUUGUAUUUUUUUUGUAGAUUUGCAGUUUCUUCUUCAGCCUUUUUCACAUUUUGUAGUUUCUGAUUAUAUUGAUUACACUGGCAUGCCAGCCAUGUUGCAUUUAGGUCAAAGUUGUUCAUUUACAUUUGGAUGUGUUUCUGCUUUUGUGCUCUGAUUUGUUUUCCAAAUGUCCUAUUUGCUAUCAACACAUCUGCAAUUUAAUAUAGCAGACUCCAGAAUUUUUUUCUGAAUCAAUACUUCCCAUUUGUGUGCAUAAUUAGAAUUCUCUAAAGAAAAUGUCUUUUCUAUGUGCAUAUAUAUUCUGUGUUUUCUCUACUAUGUAAAUUUUCCUCUUAUGACUCUCUUACGAGACAGUCAUAUGAGUUACUGUUACCUCCCUCCAGAUUUUUGAUGCCAAGAGGCAGAGAUUUCUGUCUUAGUUAAGUGCAUGAUCAGUCUAGCUAGUAGUAACUCCAUCUGCGCUCUUCACCAAUGUUAGUGAGUACUUAUAGCAGACAAUGCAGUCCUCUGUAAAGGCACUUUAUAAAAUCUGUUUAAAGUAAUCUAGUUUCAAUAUCAAGAAACACUUAUAUUAUUUCAAUUUUUUUUACCUUCUUCAUUUCCUGUACUAAAACAGUAGAAACUGCAAGCUGUCUGACAGCUGUUGAAGAUAUUCAGUGCAUUCAUCAUCUAAUAAUCUUUAUUUUUCUUCAGUGAAAGUAGAUAUAUUGCUGAAGUCAAUACUGAGCUAUUUCCUUUUAAUCUUAAUUGAAUAUUUGUCCACUAAUGGCUUCAAAGGUAUUUCUGUUGAUAAUAUAUUUUAAUGGUUCCCAUUUCACGUCUUAUAGUCUUUCUUUCAUUGUGAAUGUAGAUCCUUCUCUAUUUCUAUGUAUCUUCUUUCUGAUAAAUCUGUGAUGUGUGCAUAAUUCUGCUUUGCUUGUGCUGUAAGGGUUUGGGGAACCUUUGGCCUGUGUAAGAUCAGAUGUUCCACAUUUCUAAUUCCUAUUUUUUUCUGAAGCUGAUGGCUUUUAUUCAUAUUGUUAUUCAUGGGUUUUUUUUAAGUUUUGGGGAUGACUCCUUAAAAUUGUUCUUUGAUGUAGAUCAGAGAAGCCAUUAUUAAAUUUCUGUUUCCCAUAUACAUUCUUUUAAGCUGUAGACUAAAUAAUUCCUAAUCUGUAAAAGUAUUGGACUCUUGGAGUAUUUAGCUAUGAGGAGAUCUUCUGGUCUGCUAUGCAUGUUGAAGGUUCUUCUGUCAACCAAGAACAAGUUAUCAACACUUCUCUUGAAAUGUAGACAGCAGAUUGGGACAGUAUGUUCUUGCAGUCCUUAGGCCGUUGUCAAAUAUACAAAAUAACAUUACUACAUUUUUCUAUGAAAUUUUCCUUUUACAAAAAAAUCUCUAAAGAUGCCAAGGUGAUGGGAAUUUUCAGCUGACCCAGCCUCCUCUUUAUACAGUGGUUUCAGGUCUUGUAGAUCAUGGGGUGGUGUAAGAUUCCGAUAAUUCCUUGUUCAUAAAAUUUAUGGUUUUUGGGAGGGUUUAAAAAAUCCUUUCUGAUGUUUUUGCCCGCUUACUAAACUGUCCUGUUGGAUUUGUAUUGUCUAAUUAUCUGUAGGUUUGCUAUCUAUUACUUUGACAUCUGAGUGAUCCAAAGCCUUUACUGGUAAUGUUACCUUGCAGAUCACUAAAAGAUGUUGGUAAGAUACAUGGGGCCACAAAACCUGCAAAUUCCAUGUAUCAGUUUCAGCAUAAAUAGAUUUCUUUGGGAAAUUUCUCUAUGUGGUUACAUUUUUUUCUUAUCCUCUUCAUCCUUUAUUUCUAUUACAGCAAAACUCAGAAUAAAACCAUCAAAGGUAAUGAGCAUUUAUUUUAAGUUAGGGUACAUCAGGCAGUUUGACAUUUUAUACCCAUUUUAGUUUUCGUGAACUAAAUGAGAACUAUGUGCUGGAACAGGUCAUGUCUCUUUCUGUCACAGUCCACCUUGUUUUGUGGUUGUGCACCCUUGGAUGCAUAAUGGAGAUAUGGGUACUUGUGCAUAAAGAAACAUAGCUUAAAUGAACUGUAAAGCUCUGUGCUUUAUUGGGCAGCACUUUUUGAACUUUUUUCCCCCUGGUUGAAUUAUUCAGAAGAUCUCUGUAAAUGGUGCAUAACUUCAAAUUGGAUCCAUAGACUGUAGAUCAGGUAAUUGAUUCUCCUUAAUUUCAUUUGUUACAUGUUCACAUUAUUUCUUUUUCCUUUUUGAUUAAUUUUUUUUUAUUCAUAGCAGUACACAAAUAAUCUAAACCAAGUUCUGGUGUCUUAAUCUCUUGUUAAUUAACAUUUCCUCACUCACUUAAAUUGCCCAUCAUGCUAUCUUGCAAGGUCAUUUCUUGCUAAAUCAGAGCAUGAUUUCAGGUAAAGAUGCCUUUUUGAAUUUGGAUUCAGAUUGAAGUUGAUAUUAGUAUGAGAUAUGUUGGAAGUGAUAUUAGAAAAAUGAUCAAUACCCACUGAAGAAAACCAGAAACAGGUAGAGAAAUUCUAGGAGAUUAUGUACUUAAGUGUUUUGGGUUGGUUUUUUGGGUUUUUUUUUUUUGUUUUGUUUUGUUUUGUUUUUAGAUUUCUUUUCCCCAAGAGAACUUGAGUUUCUUCUUAAAGCAGUUCAGCAUUUUAAGAUGAAACUCUUUGCUUUGGCUAGCUUUCUCAUGGGCUAAGACAAGAAGUCUGCUAGCCAUGUUAAUGUAGAAUAAAAAGUCCUUAUACUGUGAGUUCUCAAAGCUGAGCUUCUACUGUGCUUAUAAUAAGCAAACCUCUUUGUAUUUGUUGCAUGGAGAGAAAGUUCAUUCUUUGUAACAUGUCCAUCAGAGUUGCAUAGCUGCUACUAAGGCACUAGCACGUGCUAGCCAUAGAAAAUAGUUUCCUGUUCAGCUGCACUUUUUUAUUGUUAUUUUUCCAACAGGUUUCUGAUGUGAAAGUUGUAAAGAGUUGAAUUUCUCUUGAGAUAAGAAAUUACAAUUAAAUGGAGACUGGUUGAUCAACCAUGACACAGUGUUGUCAACAUGAAAUCAAAGUGGGGACAGUACAUUUGCAUUUGAUGCCUUUGUAGAGCGAGAUUAUGCUAACAGCAUGGAGCUGUCUUACUCCCCUAGGAGCACAAAGAAACUCCACAGCUGCAAUUCUGAAAUGCUUCCUGAAGAGGUGAAGAUUACACCUGUUUUGUGUUGUCUCCAAACUGUUUCUGUGCUGGAAUAGCCUCUGGCUCUGCCCAGCACAUGCAGUUCCAUCUUACCUCCCAUGGAUGUGCUAUGAGAUUAAUGAACUCUAUGACUGAUUAAAUUUUCAUAAUUAAAUCAUUUUCCCAUAACUCAGAUUGAAUAAAAGGAUUUGAUGCAGAGUUGUGUCAUUCAUGAGCAUAACUGAUAUAAUUUUGUAUCUUGCAUUCUUGGUGUUUUUUGUUAACAAAAUGGAAACACAGGAAAAAUUUAGUAUCUUUAGCUUUCCCAAAGUCCUAAAUCAUUUGAUCAAUACAAACCCCAUGACUUUCUGUGUUCUUGUCUGUAUAGAACAUACAGAUGUCAAAAUUGACUGCUUACAUCUCAAAAUCAGAAAUUACUGUAUGAUUUAUUGAUGUCUGUGGGAAAUUUGGUAGGUGUAUAAAUUUAUAUAUUUUUCUUGCAUGUGUAUCUCUUGUUGGAUAGAUGCUAAAGUUCUCCAGCUGAUUGACAGAUAUCUGCUGAGCACAUUAUUGAAUUAUAUCUGUCUAAAUCAAUUUCUACACCUCUGUGUAGUAUUUGCAUUGAUAAUGUGUCAGACCAGGGAAAUACCUAUCCUUCUUGUAAAUAGGGGUCAUUCCUAUGAGGGUUAUAUUAAUCUGGUAAAAAUAACAAAAAGAGACAAGAUGCAAAGGGAAAAAAUUCAGUGACUGAGGAUGUAUUAUACAUAUAGAGGACUUAAAAGCCAAAGUGAAAACAUCAGCCCUCACUGUAACUCUGAGAUCUGUGCAGAGGAGGUUCAGUUCUUAGAAAGAACUUUUAGUGCAGGUGCAGAGCUGCUUUGGGUGCAUGUAUUAUUAGGGAAGAUUACAAAUAGCUUUAAGAUCUGAGAAUAUAAAUAAUGCUGAACAGAGACACAGUGAAAUAUGUGAUGAGAAAAACAUUCACUUUUCAUUCUGUUCUCCCUUAUCUGUGGAAAAAUAAUUCUUUCUCAUCCUGAAGGAAAAUCCUUCCCAUGAGAAGUGUCAGAGCAGGAGUCUAUGCCUUCACAAGCAGCAGGACUUGGGCUAUACCCAGCAAACAAUGGCAAUCAGGGAAGGAAGAAAGGAAAUUGCUAAUCCCCAGGAAAGACCUCAUCCUUCCCUUGAAGUGAUUCCUACUUGUACUGUUCUAAGGGGCAAGAUGGAGAAAAAACAGGGCUGAACUCCUCUAUCCUCUAUGAUAAAAGUGUGCUGAAACACUAGCUUUUCCCUCUUACUCAUAGUUUCCCUUUUUAAAUACAUUUUUUUGAAGAGGGGAAUGAAUUAGUCCUUCAGUUGGGUGUUCCCCUCUGAAAAGAGAGUAAGGACUUUGAGAUUAUAUUAGAGGUGCUUUUUAUAAUUACUUGCCAGAAAUUAACACAAAAGAGAAGUGUGAACAUGUUUGCAGGAGCUAGCAAACUAUAAUGAGGAGAAAAGCCUUUUCUUCUGAUUCUUAUUUAUAUUUUGAACACCAAAGAGCUCUAAGUCAUAAACCAGGGCCGCAUGUGGAGGUUAUGAUUCAAAUGUAAGAGACAACACAUGUAUUGACAGCUGAAGGAGCACAAGGAAACAAUGAGGCAAUGUUGGUCAGUAUGAGAGAAAGCAUCUCAGUGCAUUAUUAGCUUAAACAUUUUCUCAUGUUUUUUUGUAAGCAUCACAGCAAGAGAGUUUUAAUGAGGGAUUUGAAGGAAGAUGAUGAGGUUGUGUGGCAGAUGCUUGGAAAAAAUCACAGAGGAGCUUGUUUAAAAAUAUCUGACAAAUAGGUAGUGGAAGCCAACAUUAUGGCUUAACUGGAGACAGAGCUCAUUGGAGAUGAUAGGUGGGAUGAUAAUGAGGAAGAAUUUGAAGAUGAAGGCAAAUAGCUUAUAUCUGAUUAUUUAGAAAAUAAUAAACAGGCAUUGGUCAAAAAGGCUGGCACUUUUGUUCCAUUUAGAUUCUGUGUGAGGGGAUUAGAGUUAAACAGAUGAACAGAUGUUAUGAUGGAUAGAGAUUUGAAGUGGAUUAUGACAGUGUGGAAAAGACUUUUGUGGGUGAACAUCAGUGGGCACUCAUUAAAGGUGCUAUGCAGAAAUAACCAAAAAAACUAGGCUGAAGUAUAUUGCAUUGGACAUUGACUUGUUUACAGAGCAGAUGAUAUGAUCUAACUUUCUAGAGGAGCAUGUGAUAAGUUUUAUAUUUAAAAGGGAAGAACUGUCUGGUGUUGAAAGAAAGUUGUGUCAGUGUGUAGAUUGUUCCUCUUUUCUAGUAGGGAAAGCUAAAAAUCUUUUGUCUGAAUGAGGGCAAUAAACAACAUUAAAAAAUAAAUACAUGCAAGAAUACAGUAUGAGCAGCCAUAGCAAUAGAAACUUCUGUUUAGUUUUCUUGGAGAUAUACUUAUGCCAUCCCCUUACAUUUUUUCAAAAGCUUCAGGUCUGGUUACUUUGAUUUUUAAAAUAAUCCUCACAAUUAGAAGUUCAGUUUCAAGAGUGAUUAUAUUAAAAUGCUUGCAGAAAAAAUGGUUAGGUUCCAUGAAAAUGAGGGGUUUAAUACAGAUGAUCGAAGCAAUUAGUUCAUGUCACAGUUGAGACCAGGUAGUUAAUGGGAGAUUUUAAAAAAACUAGUGCACACAAUGGAUUUCUAUUUUAGCUUUUAUAGAACAGAAAGGCAAAUACAUAUUCUUUGUGGGAAGUCUAAUCCUAUAGAAAAGUCAACAUGAGAAAAGACAUGCUGAGCUGCUUUAUGAAGGAAUUUUAAAGUACUUUGUAUGGGAAGUCCAUAAAGGUAGAUGGAGUAAGAAGCUAACAUAAUUAAUGGACAGAACUUUUAAACAUUAAAUAAAUGAUUUGCCUUAACAUUCACAAGUGAAUGGGUGACAGAUGCUGGAAAUGGCUGUAAAUUUCCUCAGAGAGGAAGAAGAAAUACUGAGGGAAAUCAAGACCAUACCUGAACAGAUGAUCAGGAUGUUAGAAUGUCUAAAGAUUAGCAAAACUUCAGGGGCAGAUGGAGUCUGUCCCAGAGAUAAGAAACCCAAGAACCUAUGCAAGUAGAGGCAAUAUCAUAUUAUAAUAGAAAAUACUGGUAGACUUAGAAGUGGUGAGUAGAAAUUGAGAGACAGGAAACGAAUGAUAUUUAGGGAUCACUUCUGCUCUUGAGGACAGUGACAGCUAAAUAUUUAUUUUCAGAAUGACAUUUGUUUGCAGGCAGAACUCAGAAAGGGAAAACAUUUAAUUGUUUGCAGUAGUGGUCUCUGAUUAAAAGUGAACUAGGGAGAGGGAGAAAUGCAUGUAAGUGCUGAUGAUUUUAAGAUUUGUCUAUAACACAUUCUAAAAGACUGGCCAGAUUUUUAAGAGCUUUUCUAGCAGCCAGCAUCUAUUUGCAUGUAUAUAUGUUCCUGGGACUUCCUUUUCAGAGCUGGUGACUCGUUGAAAUGUUCUGAGGGUUCAGCAGUACCAGGAAGGCUCUGCUCAUAUCAGAUCCACAGUAGUGGUACGGAUCUGGUGCCAGACUGGGUUAAAUAUUGGUCAGAGGCAGCUGCAGCAGCCACUGAGACCUUCAUCUUAUUUGGAUUAAGGGAAGGUGAUUAUCUUCAGGACAUGAAAGAGCUCUGGAGUUAUCAGGUAAUAAGAAAUACAAAUGAAAGCAAAUUACUUCAGCCAUUUUGUGAGGAUCAGCGUAGUUCUAAUUUUCACUUACUAGAGUGACACAAACAGGGAACAUAAGUGAGUAAAACAGCAAAAAGUAGAAUUUGUGUAGAAUUUGGCAUUUUCAUACAAGUAAAUAAAGUAAUUCACACUAACUUGGGAGAGCGGCGGAAGCAAGUUCAGCAAACUUGUUUAUAUAUACUGGUGAAAAAAUGUAAGAGAAGUGUAGGAGGAACAAGAAAAAGCAAAUACCCCAAAGUCACAUGCAAAUUAACAUUAAUCAGGAGGAUGAUCUAAAUGAAAGAAUUAUAAGCAUAUAACUAACUUUUACAUAAUUACUUAUGUAAUAACAACAAAAACCCAAAGGAACAUUAAAAUUCAAUAAAUACUGCAUUGAAUAGAAAUUACUUAGCCUGCGCUAAAAAUCACAAAAUCUGUGAUACCAAAAUUUCUAUUGUCUGUGUAAUUUUUAAUCUUCUAGUUAUAUCUUGAUAUACCGAGGAAGUCCAUAUAAAAAUAUAUGGGCUAAUAAUUCUGGAAAGGAAAGCAUAAAGAUCUGUGUUUAUUUUAGCCACAGCACUUAUUUCUAAAAUGAAAAUAAAAAUGUAUAUGUCACCAGUUAUGGCAACAAUCAGUCAUAAAACUUAGUGAUAAACAAAAUGCCAUUAAUUCCAUAUUUAAUUUGCCACUGACCUGCUCUAUUUAAAUAUAAAGCUGGUUGUUAUAAUCUAGCAACUGUGGUAUGGCUAUGAGUACAUCCCCUGAGUUUUUCUUGUCUAGUGAAAAUGUCAAGAUUAUAUUUUUUUCUCUCUGUUUUUCCAGUACAAUACCUCUUAGAAGAUCCACAGUUCUUAAUAGUGCUGAUUGAUGACUAAGACCAGAGUCUAUCAAAGUUAAUUGAAAGAUUUCAUUAUCCUUUUGAUCAAUUCCUCUGUCCUCUGAAAUUUUGGACUUGUGGCUUUUCCUUCAGUAAGAAAUUAUUUUUAUUGUUUCCUCUUUAUAGAAUAAGGGAGAUAGACUUUUAAUCAGACCUCACCAGCAAAGAAUUUGUUCCUCAGGAUAGAGAAACCCAGUUUUCAGAGUCAAAGAUUUUGAGAAGUCUAGGGGUAGAUGAGGAAAAAUCUUGCUCGAGACCUCAGAGAAUUCAUGAGAGAGCAAGCUCAGAGAUCUUAAUAUUAUGUUUCAUGGUUCUGGAGUUUGAAGGUCUAAACUGGGAGGUGAGAGACUUUACCAAGGAGGAUGGAUCGUAUAUCACAAACCCCAAAAUCUACAGACUCACUGGGAGCCAUGAGGGAGAUUACUUUGUAUUGUUGUUCAGUAAUGAAUAGCAGGCUGCAAAUACUGAGGUGGGUUGGAGGUGAGAGUGCAGAAAGUCUCCCCUUUCACGAAGAAGCACAUUCUACCUAGAGAAAAUGAUGGCAAAAGUCUGGUAUACUAUUAUUCCUUAGUGCUUCUGUUGUAAAUAGUUGCAAUACCUUCCUAGACUAAGCAGAUUCUUUUUGCCAUCCCAUUGUCAUUGCAGGCAUCAACUGAUCACCAAUGCCAGAUCUGCAGCCUUUAAAUCUUCCAAGUCAGACCUGCUUAGUUUGCUGACAAAAAGAAAUUUCCCAAUUCAGUACUGUGGAGUCAAUAAAAAUGUAGCUGUGGCAGAGCAAGGUGCAUUCUCUGCUCCCUGAUGUACCAUAAUCAUCAAAUUGUAAGCUAAGAUACAGUUCCAGAAAUAACGUUGCUCCUAAUAGUUGAUGUAUGAAGCGGAAAGAACAUAGUUAAUUUGCAGAGGUGAAUUUGAGCUUUCAUGUCCAUCAGACAGGAAAAUCUGGUUUUGACUGCAGACUGAGAACAUUUAAAAUGGAAACUUCUGAUGGAAAUAUAUAUGGAAUGCAAAGAAGUGUUUAUACGGUCAAUUUUCUAUCCAGAUGAACCUUCUUAUUUCUUCCUGUCAGUUUUACUGGGACUUUGUAUUCAUUUCCUUGCAGUUUUUCCUUGCAUAUUUUUCUGACUGUAAAUUUUUUCAUGGUUUCUUGUCUUUACAGAUGUCUUCUCUGUCUCGCUCUGUGAGAAAGAGCGCCUUUUUAAUGACUUAAUAUAGGGGUUAAAAUCCAAAAGACAAAAAUAUGUAACUUUCAUUGCAGUAUUAAAUUUCUAAUUGUUAUUCUAGUCAGUGUUACUGUAGAGGUCUUUCCCAUAGAAACAGUGACUCGGGACAACCUCUAAACAUUAAAUUUAGUCUUUAAGAUAUUUUCAGGGACUGCACCUUAAGCUGCAUCCCUCCACGCCAGGUAGUGUCAUUUUUGGAUGUAGGAAACUUAUUGCAGUGGAAUUUAAAAUGUAAUCUUGAGUAUUAUUUAAUAAAAAAAAUCCAUGCUUAUGCUUUUUUUCCUGUGAUAACUUUUUGCUGUUGUUUAUUCACAAGUGGUCUUUAUAUGCCUUGAAUUUACAUUGUGGUAAGGAUAGGUGUGUUGGCUCUAACUGUGAAAGAGCUGACAUACAGUACCUGAAUCUUUUGUGAUUACUUGCUCAGGCAUCAGUGUCAUCACAACUAGCUGGGAGUGCAACUUCCUAUGGCCAUAUUUUUUCCAUUUUAGAUGUCUGCACCAAGAUGUGCCACAGUAUCUUUGGCUGGUUCUUCAUUCUUAGCAGAUGGCAGGAUGGAGCCAUGCAUAAUUGGCUUGAAUACCUUGAUACCAGUGUAUAUUUUUUCAGAAAAGGCUAUUCUUGGAGGUUAUAGAGGGUUUUUUAGAAUGUUGUCCAGCAGCUGCAGAUGGAGUAGGCUGAGAAUUUCUGGACAAAGCUCUUUUUGUGAAGACUGAAGGUGCUGACAGGAAAUAGCUUGGUGAAUUUGAGUUUUAAGUCUUCUUAAACAUAUUUGUUUGGUUCAGAAGGAGCUUCUUUACUGCCAAGAAAUGAAAGAGGAAAACUUCUGGGUGCAGAGCAGGUGAGGUGGUAGUAUGCCCAUCUCCAUUUACACAGUUGGUUAUUUUUUGUUCUUCCAGUACAAAUCUACUUAAAUGUUGGCCAUAAACCUUGGCUGCAUUUUAAUAUUGGCUGUGUACUUGUGAUCUUUCUCUACUGAUGCUUAAAAAGGGCAUUGACUCUUCCUAUUAUUUGAUUUCUGUCUGGAGCUAUAAAAUUAAUCUCCCAGUGUCAUGCUGCAAUGAGCUGUGUCAGUGGAAGAGAGAUAAGUUUCAUUUCUUUUGCCUUAAAACUUCUUCCAAAGUUACAAAGAGUUGAGCACAUUUACUUUCUCUUUUCAAUUUUAACAAAGCCCUUGUCUUUUUUCUGCAUUUCUAUUUUAUCCAUGUCAUUUUGAUUCUUUUGUUUUAUACUUCACAUUUUUCCAGACUCUUUUUUCCCCCUUCAAGCCUAGUUUAUAGUCUCUGACAGGAUUCUUUCUAUGCUAUCUGCCAAAACAUCUGUUCCUUUUCUGAAUAAAAAGCUUGCUUCUCCAGAAUGUGUCACACGGGUCCACACCAAGUAUAAACCUUAAUUCCUCUCUGCAACUCUGCCAGUGAUGGAGUAGCACUGGGAAGCUUUGCAUUCUUGUCUGUCCUGUCUCAUUUUUCAUUACACCAAAUUCAGUAGUGUAGUGGGGCAAAAAAAUAAUUGUAUUUAAAUGUACACAUUUCCUUUCAAAAUAUGCUAGUGCUUAUAUGUACUUUCUAUUUUUAAUCUUGCAAUUACUUUCUGAAUUUUUAAUCGAAGCAAAUACUUAUUAACUUCAAAUUGAUUCUACUUAAAAAAAAAAAAAAACAAGUUAUAUUGCCGGUUCUUUUCUGCCAGAACCACAUUUGAAUUACUACUCUCACUGAAAAUCCAACACAACUGUCCUUGAUUCUUCUUGGAUUCAUUUUGGCAAUUUUACAGUUUUGCAGUCAAAACAAAAUCAAAAAAAAAUUUGGGUUGCCAUGAUAAAAUUAUGUAACUUUCAGUACUUUGGUAAGUCUGAUGCAGUUGACCAACUUGCUUCUAUUGUAAAGUUCUUAGACAUAUUUAGAAAAAAUUCAGUAUUUCAAAAGAAUAUUAUUUUUGUAUUGUAUUCCCACAGGUAAUAAGAUUAAUGUAACAUUUUAUAAUUGGUCAAUACUAGUAUUGAAUAAUUUAAAUAUUUUAUCAGUAUGGAUAAAAUAUUUAUUGUUCUCUAUGUUGUGAAGUAAAGGAAAAAAGUGGAUUCUGUAUGUAUUUGUUUGUGUUAUUAUUUGCUCUUGAUUUAUUGCUGAGAUCAUUGACCUUGGACUAUAACAAUAUUAAGAAGAUGAAUACUAAGUUUGUGGUGAAUAAUUUUAAGUUCCUGAAACUUUUGAGCUUUAGUGUGGUAAAUAACAUGAGAUUAAAAUUGAUAGAAACUUCCCUCUGGACCGCAUCUGAUUCACUAAUUCAGCCCCCUGAAGUUUUAAUUAAUUUUAACAGAAAUUAAUGACUACUUUUUUGCCUUUUUUUUUGUCUUUGCCAGAAAUGUCUUCAUUCUUUUGAGGAAAAAAAAAGUGUAUUUCCAUUGUAAUAUUUGUAGUAGUUACUUAGGGGUUUCCAGUGUCAAUCUGGUAUGGGGAUGGGGAAACAUAUUCUGUUUCGUUGUUCCCUCUCUCUGCCAGACACAAAGAGGGCUUCUCCAGGUGGCAGAGAUUUGAUAAAUGCUGGGAAGCUGUGUAAAGAGAAUUGCUAAGGAAAUUGAAUUCAACCCUUCUCCAUGGCUUGAUCCCCCCUAGAACAGGUGGCCUGGCACGCUGGCCACAAGUUCCUGUUGACUGCCUCCAUCCAAUACCUCAGUACCCUUAUGCUGGGAUUUGUUUGUGGAAGCUGGCGAGCUGCCUUCCUGGAGGAGCUGCAGCCGCAGAAAGAAGGCUGGGAAUGGUUCAAAAGUCCUGAGUCUUUCAUGGCUCUUGUGUUUUGCUGAUCCUUUGAAAUGCUUAAGAAAUUUGAUGUGUGAUUUUCUAAAUGAAAGUUUAUAAAUUCUUAGUCAAAGAAAUAUUUUCAACACAACACACAUUCUCAGCCAGCUUUCUGUGAGCACUUGCAUGUGUCUCUUGCCAAGAUCUUAGGGCAGAGGGAGUUUUUUAAUUUUUGGCUUAUACUGACAAAAAUAUUUAUUUAAAAUAAUUUUUGUUAGCUGUGUAGGCCUGUCUUUGUAUGACAAGACAGCAGAAAAUGGGAAGCGUUCUCAAUCCUGAAAAAUGUCAAUUAGUCAUUUAAUAAGUUGCUAUUGACUGGGCUAUUCAGUAACUGUGUGGAACAGAUUAGAACUUCUGUUUAUGACAGUGUAGUUCAGUAGUAACUCCAGUGAUGUGCAGUCAAUGAUUCUAUUUUUAUACUAGAAAACCAGCAUUCUCUUUUUGUCCCUUGAGGUGCAACCCAAGUGGCUGGAAGCCCAUCACACUGAGAGGUACCUUUAAUGUGUUCCUCUGUGAAGCCUGAACUCAGUUUUCAUGGGAAAUUACUCUCUCCAGUGAACAACUACAGUGAUUUGUAUUUACUUUAGAAGACCUACGUUUUUCAGUGGAUAAAAAUGAAGAGAACAGGGCUCUGACAUUACAAAAAACUCAGUAUAGACCUCUAUACAGACCUCUGUUUCCUGAACCAGUAAGCACAGAGCUGCAUGGUGCUCCAGGCCGAUCCAUAUUUCUUUGACAUCUUUGCACUUCGGGAACAUUGCAACAUGUUUGUGUAUGUCAUCGCCAGGAAAACAAUGUUCAGCACUUGGCUUGCCUAGUAGAGCUGGUGCCCACAUGCUGCUUACCACUGAGCAUACCCCUGUAAGAAUUAGCAGACCUUGACAAAACUAUCAAGCAAAUCUCAAUAAAAAUUAAUUGAAUACACUUGCAAUAGAAUAGCUGCUUAAUGCUUCCCUUUCUUACUAGAACAAUUAUAAAGAAGUAUACCUCUUUCCUCAGAAACUAAUUUUAAUACAAGUUGAUAUCCACUAACCAAAAAAAAAAGAAUGAUCAAUGCCUAUCAAACAAACACAGUUCAAAAUGCAGUAUCUGGUUAAAAUUCAGAGAAGAAAACCUUCUCUGGCAUCACAAAAGACUUCUGAGAAGUUAGUAUGUGUAUGCAGCAAGGGCAUAAGGUGAAGAUGAAGGCAUAAAAGCUAGCAGGAAUAUGCCAAACAUUGAAACAGCUUCUUCUAGGUUUUUAAAAUGCAUUUCCUGAAGUAUUCAGCUGUUUGUAAUCAAUGAGUAAUUCAUGGUGAAGAACAGGGAAUUUUAAUGAAAGGAAUUUGUAUUUUUGCAAUAAAAUUUCUUGUACUUGUGGGAGCCCCUUUUUCCCCCCACAAGCUUCUCAUGUAGAUAUAAAAUUCCUUUGUGUGGCAAUGCGCACUCUGUCAACAUCAGUGGGAGUAAAAUUUCCUCAAAUGAAUCUUUGUUCAAAUUCAGAUUUCUAGGAAGCCCCCAUGAAUAUCUAUGUGGAAAGUGACUCAGCUGUAUCAACAUUCUAGUGCUUUUCUCUGGAAAAAAUAUAGCAUCAGACACAGGAGUAACAAACAAUUAGGGUAGAUUUAAUUUUAUUUAAAUUUUGCAUUGACAGUGGAUGAUUGGAAACAUCAUGUAGAAAAUGAACAAUAUUAAUAGAGUAUGUUAAUAGUGCACAGUGGACUUGUCCAUUAUAUAGUACCAAGAUAUUUCAAGUUAUAAUAUUUUUUACUUUCUUCAGAAGAUAUGGCUUCUCAUAUGAUAAUGGAUAUUUUCUUCAGUGUGUACACGAAAAGCAAACUAUAGUGUAAAUUUUGAUUAAAAUGUUGCUCUGUGGCCUUUCACAUUAAAUCUAAUUUUAUUUAAUAUUACUUUCUACAUGUAUGCAGAAAAUGGCAAGCUAAUAUUAAUAAAAGAAGGCUUACAGGAAUGUGGAAAAAGAACAAUAGAUCCCUGUCAAAAUUUAUUUACCUAGCUAGACUUUCAUUUCAAAGUUAGCAGACUCUGUGAUACUGGCAUAAUACAGGGAUCUUAAAACUCUGUUAGACAUUUUUAACCCACUUUAAUUUAUUCCAUGGUAGUUUAAUCCCCUGCUGAACGGGGAUAGGGUGAAUUUUCAAAAGUCAUAAUCCACUGAAGUAAAAAAUCUGUAAUGACAACACAGACAGCAGGCUUCAAGAAUUUAGUUUAAAUUAUUUCCAAAAAUGUUAAACUUAGGGCAAGAGUUAAUAGGAUAUUUCAUACAGUUAUAUUUCAAUCAUUUUCCAAAUCUUUAUACAUUCACUUGCAUCUCUGCCAUCAGAAAUACUUGGGCUCGAUUUCUGUUCUUUUAAGACAAACCCCAGAAAGCUGUAAAAUUCGAAUGCGAAGAUUUUCACAGGGUAUUGUAACUCAUUUGGUCCUUCAGUUCACAGAAUUUUAUAUGCAAUAGCAUAAUAUUUUCUAAAUUGAAAGAGAAAUGACAUUUUACAAACUGAACACCUUCCAUUCUGGCUUAAUUGGGCACAAAAAUUAAAUUAAGAUACUUUAUACCACCCUGUCUUCAUCCUUCUGCUACUCUAGGAUUUUAAUGAUUGACUUUAUUGGUGGGUGAACAUUCAGCCCACAAAUUGAUUGGGAAAAGUUCAUGCAUUUCCUAUGUACUUGAAACCUACAGUUUUACACUUUUCCUUGACUAUACCUUUGGAGCUGCCUAGUUCUCAAGGUAGCUGUAACUCAGACAACAUCAUAUUUUCUUUAACAAGGAAGAUCCUCUAGUGCCAGCCAUAGAUGUUUACAGCUUUUCCUGGCCUCAGCAGCCAGGCACCAAACUUCUGCCUGAACCCCAUGGGAAAAAUGCUGCCUCCUUCCUAGGUUUUGUUGCGUUAUGUUGGAUCAGAUUUUGGGUGGCAUCAGAUAAAUCAGAUUUGGGAAGCUGGUGACUUGUUCAAAACAACAGGAUGAGAAAGUUCUGAGAGUCUGAAGUAGAGAUGAGGUGGCAGGGUGUUUCACAUGGUAGAAGAUUCAUCCAGAAACAAACAAGUACUUGUAAGCAAUACUUAUGGAAAAUGAAUAAAUUCAUAGCCACACCCCCAACUUAAGGAGUCUUUGAUCUGCAAAGGUUUGAAAAUGAAAAAUAUUUUCUGGUACAAAUAGUAUAUUUCUCCCCUCAUUUUGCAUUCCUUGACAAAAUCAACAUUUAGCUAUUGUUGAAAGCACGGUCCAAGGCCAGAUAGACUUCCAUUUUGACUUGCUAAUUCUUUUGAACUCUUAAAUGAAAUAGAAAAUUGCAAUAAUUUCAUUUAAUUUUCCUUUAAAAGCUACAUGUUUGGAGAGAAAACAAAGAGUUUUCUUCUUUGAAAAACAACAGUGACAGCAGUGCCUGUCUUUGCUCCUGCUUUCCAGGAAAAGGGUGGAACAAAUUGUAGGGCUGGCUUUUCAUCGCUUCCUGAUGUGGUUCUGUAAUUUUGGUUCUUGCUUCAAAGGUUCCAGUUUUAUCCAGGCAGCUAGAGGAGCCUGGAUGUUUAAUUCUGGGUCUGAUUUCCACUCUGAAAGUUUGUGAAAGACUAGAGAAAAUCUUUCUAUGUAUCUAACUGUCACAGGAGAGAAGGCAGCACUGGCAGAAUGAAGCAGAGAAAAAAAAGGAGGAAGAGAAAAGUAUCCAUUAAGGCACUGCUACUAGAAGAAAUGUCUCUGUAAUUACAAAGUCUGAUUGAUUUAAAGUACCUAUCUGUCUUAGAUGACUAAACACUUCUUAAAAGCCUACUUACUAAACAAUUCUUUUAGUCACUCGUGAACGAAACAGGAUCAAGAAGUCUAAUUUUUCAGAUUCUAAAUACUUGUGAAAUUUUUCCAUGUGAUUAAAUCAAACUCAAAA